UACGAAGGGGACUAGCGUUGUUCGGAAUCACUGGGCGUAAAGCGCACGUAGGCGGAUUCGUAAGUCAGGGGUGAAAUCCCGGGGCUCAACCUCGGAACUGCCUUUGAUACUGCGGGUCUUGAGUCCGAUAGAGGUGGGCGGAAUUCCUAGUGUAGAGGUGAAAUUCGUAGAUAUUCGGAAGAACACCAGUGGCGAAGGCGACUCACUGGACACGUAUUGACGCUGAGGUGCGAAAGCGUGGGGAGCAAACAGG
rnacentral:rRNA from 1 species